GCAAGGAAUCUUGCGCAAUGGGCGAAAGCCUGACGCAGCAACGCCGCGUGGGGGAUGAAGGCCCUCGGGUCGUAAACCCCUUUUGUUGGGGAAGCAACUGACGGUACCCAGCGAAUAAGCCACGGCUAACUACGUGCCAGCAGCCGCGGUAAUACGUAGGUGGCAAGCGUUGUCCGGAUUUACUGGGCGUAAAGCGCACGCAGGUGGCCUGUCAAGUCCAGGGUGAAAUCUCCCGGCUCAACCGGGAGCGGUCUCUGGAUACUGGCAGGCUUGAGGGCAGCAGAGGAGAGCAGAAUUCCCGGUGUAGCGGUGAUAUGCGUAGAUAUCGGGAGGAAUACCAGUGGCGAAGGCGGCUCUCUGGGCUGUCCCUGACGCUGAGGUGCGAAAGCGUGGGGAGCAAACCGGAUUAGAAACCCGUGUAGUCC
rnacentral:rRNA from 1 species